rnacentral:lncRNA from 1 species
AUCAAGAACGUAAUACAAGAGAUAAAAGAGAGAAUAGCAGGCAUAGAAGAUACCUUAGAAGAUAGUGACACAAUGAUCAAAGAAAAUUCAAAACAGAAAAAAAAAAAAAAAAAACUUCUAACCCAAAACAUCCAGGAAAUCCAGGACACAAUGAAAAGACCAAACCUAAGAAUAAUAGGAAUAGAAGAGAGUGAAGAUUCCCAGCUCAAAGGACCUGAAAAUGUCUUUAACAAAAUUAUAGAAGAAAACCUCCCCAACCUAAAGAGAUGGCCAUAAAUGUACAAGAAGUCUAUAGAACACCAAAUAUAUUGAACCAGAAAAGAAAAUCUUCUCAUCACAUAAUAAUCAAGACACCAAAUGCACAAAACAAAGAAAGAAUAUUAAAAGCUGCAAGGGAAAAGGUGGAGUCACAUAUGAAGGCAGACUUAUCAAAAUUACACCAGACUUCUCAACAGAGACCCUAAAAGAAGAUCCUGGGAAGAUGUCAUACAGAACACAAUGCCUAAGAGAACACAAAUGCCAACCCAGGCAACUAUACCCUGCAAAACUCUCAAGCAUCAUAGAUGGAGAAGCCAAAAUAUCCCAUGACAAAACCAAAUUUAAACAAUAUUUAAUCUUCCAUUUCAGAGGAUUCUAGAAGGAAAACUUCAACACAAGGAGAAUCCCUAACCAAAGGAAAAAUGAUAUUAAUCAUCUCACAACAAAACCAAAAGGAGAGAAUCACAUACUUAUAAUGCCACCUACAACAACAAACAUAAUAGGAACCAACAAUCAUUGUUACCUCCUUCCAGCCUAGCAAGGCUGGCUGAGACCAUCCACCACUUAGGCAGAGCCACCUGCUGUGCUGUUUCUCAUCCCUCUCCUUUGAUAUACCACUACCUGCUACCUGCCUGAGGCUGAACCGGUUCUCCAAGAUCUUCUAGAGUUAGCACCAAACUGUGAUCUUCAAGAGUUCCUACUACAAGGCUGAUCUGACAACUUCAAAGGAAUUUUGCAUGACUGGGAAUGGGCCUCCCCUCUUCUUUAUAAAGCGUGUUUGCCGACAUUAAAAUUGAACCUUGAGCAGACUAGUUGUCUUGGUUUCAUUAUUUCUCAACCCACCUAGGCUCCCUCUUUUCUUCCAGAUUCCAAGAUGCCUUCCAGGCUCGAACCCGGACAUGAGAGCCACAGGCCAGCCUCAACAAAUCAUCAGUCUUUAAUAUCUGUCAAUAUCAACAGACUCAAUUCCCCAAUAAGACAUAAGCUAACAGACUGGAUAUGCAAGCAGGAUCCAGCAUUUUGCUGCAUACAAGAAACACAUCUCAAUAACAAAGACAGACACAACCUCAGAGUUGAAAGCUUGAAAAAAGUCUUCCAAGCAAAUGGUCCCAAGAAACAAGCUGAAGUUGCCAUCCUAAUAUCUAAUAAAAUAGACUUUCAACCAAAAGUUAUUAAGCAUGAUGAGGAAAAACACCUCAUAUUCACC